rnacentral:sRNA from 1 species
GGACAUCCUGCAGAAGGUAGGAGUGAGCAAACACCUGCUGCAGGGGAGGGGAGAGCCCUGCGGCACCUGGGGGAGCAGAGGGAGCAGCACCUGCCCAGGCCUGGGAGGAGGGGCCUGGAGGGUGUGAGGAGGAGUGAGGGGGCUGCAUGGCUGGAGUGAGGGAUCGGGGGCAGGGCAUGAGAUGGCCUCACAUGGGGAAGAGAGGGCCCCUCCUGCAGGACCUCACCUGGGCCACAGGAGGACACUGCUUUUCCUCUGAGGAGUCAGGAGCUGUGGAUGGUGCUGGACAGAAGCAGGACAGGGCCUGGCUCAGGGUGAUUCUGGGGGUCCACUUGUCUGUAAUGGUGUGCUUCAAGGUAUCACAUCAUGGGGCCCUGAGCCAUGUGCCCUGCCUGAAAAGCCUGCUGUGUACACCAAGGUGGUGCAUUACCGGAAGUGGAUCAAGGACACCAUCGCAGCCAACCCCUGAGUGCCCCUGUCCCACCCCUACCUCUAGUAAAUUUAAGUCCACCUCACGUUCUGGCAUCACUUGGCCUUUCUGGAUGCUGGACACCUGAAGCUUGGAACUCACCUGGCCGAAGCUCGAGCCUCCUGAGUCCUACUGACCUGUGCUUUCUGGUGUGGAGUCCAGGGCUGCUAGGAAAAGGAAUGGGCAGACACAGGUGUAUGCCAAUGUUUCUGAAAUGGGUAUAAUUUCGUCCUCUCCUUCGGAACACUGGCUGUCUCUGGAGACUUCUCACUCAGUUUCAGUGAGGACACACACAAAGACGUGGGUGACCAUGUUGUUUGUGGGGUGCA